rnacentral:rRNA from 1 species
AGUGAACGCUGGCGGUAGGCCUAACACAUGCAAGUCGAACGGCAGCACAGUAAGCGCUUGCUCUUACGGGUGGCGAGUGGCGGACGGGUGAGGAAUACAUCGGAAUCUACUUUUUCGUGGGGGAUAACGUAGGGAAACUUACGCUAAUACCGCAUACGACCUACGGGUGAAAGCAGGGGAUCUUCGGACCUUGCGCGAUUGAAUGAGCCGAUGUCGGAUUAGCUAGUUGGCGGGGUAAAGGCCCACCAAGGCGACGAUCCGUAGCUGGUCUGAGAGGAUGAUCAGCCACACUGGAACUGAGACACGGUCCAGACUCCUACGGGAGGCAGCAGUGGGGAAUAUUGGACAAUGGGCGCAAGCCUGAUCCAGCCAUACCGCGUGGGUGAAGAAGGCCUUCGGGUUGUAAAGCCCUUUUGUUGGGAAAGAAAAGCAGCGGGUUAAUACCCCGCUGUUCUGACGGUACCCAAAGAAUAAGCACCGGCUAACUUCGUG